CUUUUAAGCUUUGGUCAGCAUCUUUCUAUCUCCAUUUUUUUAACAGUAGUUAACCAAUUCGAGUUAGAACCAGAGAAGUGGGCUGUUGUUAGAGAUAUUUACGACCUUUCCAUUGAGCAGAGGUCAUAAAACUGAGUCAUCUCAAAUAGGAACUUUUCUGUUAGCCAUCAAAUAAUGGCCUCCAAAGGUAAAGUUCCUUCCAUAGAUAUAUUGGUGCCAUCACAUGCUUAAGUGUUAACGCAUCUACAUUAUUUGUAGAUCAACAUGAUAAGAAAGAGUAUGUCAAGCCAAACAUGUCUUUCAUGAAGCGCCUUGCAAGGGAAGAAAAAUUAACCUCUCAGUACCAAUACUGUGGCCUACAAGGUUAUAGUGAUUAGUUGACCCGCAUCUACCAUCUGAAGCCAAAGAGAUCGCCACUGCCAAAGCCAAGAAGAAGGAAAAGGGAAAAAAUGAGAAGACUUAGAAAGAGAAAAUUAUGAAGAGGUGGAUUACUAUCACGAAAAAUACUGAUCCACCCUUCCUCGAAAGAGAUAACUCACUAUCACGGAGUCUAAGAAAAAGCCAUUGACGGUGAACCAAAUUCGGCCAUAAAAAUUGUCGAACCAGAUGAGGUUGAGGACCAAGAAGGGGGCCUAACAAAGAGAUAGAAAGGGAAAGAGCCUUUUGUAACAAAUUUUAAUCGAGUGGACUUAUAUGUGUGAAUUAUUGUAAAAUAAAUUAAAAGUUAUCAAAUUCGAUUAAACUCGUUUAAAAGUGA
rnacentral:lncRNA from 1 species